rnacentral:rRNA from 1 species
UACGGAGGGAGCAAGCGUUGUUCGGAUUUACUGGGCGUAAAGGGCGCGUAGGCGGCGCGACAAGUCACUUGUGAAAUCUCUGGGCUCAACCCAGAACGGUCAAGUGAUACUGUCGUGCUAGAGUGCGGAAGGGACAACUGGAAUUCUUGGUGUAGCGGUGAAAUGCGUAGAUAUCAAGAGGAACACCUGCGGCGAAGGCGGGUUGCUGGGCCGACACUGACGCUGAGGCGCGAAAGCUAGGGGAGCGAACGGG